rnacentral:rRNA from 1 species
AACGAACGCUGGCGGCAUGCCUAACACAUGCAAGUCGAACGAAGUCUUCGGACUUAGUGGCGGACGGGUGAGUAACACGUGGGAACGUACCUUUUGGUUCGGAACAACUCAGGGAAACUUGAGCUAAUACCGGAUGAGCCCUUCGGGGGAAAGAUUUAUCGCCAUUAGAGCGGCCCGCGUUAGAUUAGCUAGUUGGUGAGGUAAAGGCUCACCAAGGCUACGAUCUAUAGCUGGUCUGAGAGGAUGAUCAGCCACACUGGGACUGAGACACGGCCCAGACUCCUACGGGAGGCAGCAGUGGGGAAUCUUGCGCAAUGGGCGAAAGCCUGACGCAGCCAUGCCGCGUGAAUGAUGAAGGUCUUAGGAUUGUAAAAUUCUUUUACCAGGGACGAUAAUGACGGUACCUGGAGAAAAAGCCCCGGCUAACUUCGUGCCAGCAGCCGCGGUAAUAC